UGCCAGCCGCCGCGGUAAGACAGAGGGUGCGAGCGUUAAUCGGAAUUACUGGGCGUAAAGGGCGCGUAGGUGGUUUUUAUAGCUUGUCGUGAAAUAUCCGGGCUCAACCUGGAGAUGUCGGCGAGAACGUAGAGACUAGAGUCUAGGAGAGGGGAGUGGAAUUUCCGGAGUAGCGGUGAAAUGCGUAGAUACCGGAAGGAACACCAGAUGCGAAGGCGGCUCUCUGGCCUAAGACUGACACUGAGGCGCGAAAGCGUGGGGAGCAAACAGGAUUAGAUA
rnacentral:rRNA from 1 species